rnacentral:rRNA from 1 species
AGCAGUAGCCGCGGGAAUACAGAGGGUGCGAGCGUUAAUCGGAUUUACUGGGCGUAAAGCGUGCGUAGGCGGCUUUUUAAGUCGGAUGUGAAAUCCCUGAGCUUAACUUAGGAAUUGCAUUCGAUACUGGGAAGCUAGAGUAUGGGAGAGGAUGGUAGAAUUCCAGGUGUAGCGGUGAAAUGCGUAGAGAUCUGGAGGAAUACCGAUGGCGAAGGCAGCCAUCUGGCCUAAUACUGACGCUGAGGUACGAAAGCAUGGGGAGCAAACAGGAUUAGAGACCCGUGUAGUCCCUGUCUCUUAUAC